GCCUUUGUGGUGUAACAGUAGCACACUCGGCGCACAUUCGAGAGGUCCAGGUUCGAGUCUUGGCCAGGGCA
rfam:Stegodyphus mimosarum contig5585, whole genome shotgun sequence.